rnacentral:lncRNA from 1 species
CUUAAAAGUCGUGUUUUUUUUAAUAGAAAGAAAUUUAAAGGCGUAAAUUCAAGAAUAACACACACAUUUGUUUGAAUAUUUACAUAAUUAUGAAGUACUGUGCAAUGUUGUCGUUUCGAUAAUGAUGAAAAUGCGUAUGGAUGCACAUAUUACGUUAAAUGGUUAAACAACUUGAAAUGUAAGUAGGAUUUUAGAAUUAUAAUAAAUAAACAUGUGCAUUACCUACUAAUCGUCAAUGGUAGUAUUAUGUUUAUAUAUACAUGUACUCUAAUGUUUUCAGUUAAUGAUACAAUUAUAUUUUGAUGGUGGAACUUUAAUGGUUUCUUUUGUAUAUUCACAACUUCGCUUGAAAUUGUUAGAAAUUAGAGUUUUACAGAGUUGUAUGCACACUGGUUACAGGGGCAGAGCCAUCCAUUUUUUAAAGGGGGUCCAAAACCAGGAGAUAUGGGGAUUCCAAUAAUAUGUGCCUAUUCAAAUGGGACUUUUGUAUGCCGACUUUUAUCAGACAACGAAAUCGAAUUUGUCAGAAUAUACACAAUGGUUUCUGAUAACCACGAAUCUUAGUACCCACAAAAAUUAAUUAAUCCACAGUUCUUCUGGGUUCUUUACUAGUAGUGGCAAUCGACCAAGUUUUUUUUACUUAACGUCCAGUGGCAACUAGUUCAUAUGUAUUGUGUAUAGAAUGAGAACCAAAUUAUACAUUUAACACUUGUAAGGGAUCAACAGAAGGAAAUUCAGGAUAUUAGACUAUCAUUGCAUUCAACCAAAGAAUAUUAGACAGGGAUCAACAUUUUGCGACGUAAAAAGGGCACAUACGAACCAUUAAAAAAAUGUUGCAAUUGUUCGCUGACUUGCAGAGAGCGUGGUACAAUCCUUACAAGAGGCUCCUACGUUUACGACAUCAUCAUCCUGGUAUUACUGUCUCAGACAGACACCCCUCUUUAACAUGUUUAAAACUGCCGGAUGAGAGAGUGACGAUUACCAUAUUUCUACACCCCAUUUAACCGUACGGCUUUUAGGGAGCUACCAUUUGAUUUUUAUGGGGGGGGGGGGGGGGCUAGGAUGAAAAAUUUUGUCCUGCAUUUUUUUUAGCUGUAAUCUCUGUCCUGCCUUUUUAAUUUUUCACUCUGUUCGGUCCUGCCUUUUUUUUUAGUUUAUCCUGACUUUUUUUUUACCUAAAUGUUGUCCUGACUUUUUUUUUUUGAAGUGUCUCAUCCUGCCUUUUUUUUUACUCAAACUCCUGUAUGCCUAUUUUUUUCAAAUUUCAUCCUAGCCCCCCCAUAAAAAUCAAAUGGUAGCUCCCUUACUGUAUAUCAAGUCAAAAAGUCAUGACAAUGUGGCAUAUCGUCUUACAUCGAACUACCACAUUCCGAAUCCGACUCCGUGUCACGUGGUUUAAAACAGCUAGAUGUAUUCAUGACACGUUAACUUUUGAUCUUUGGAGUGUGUAUGAUAUAUUAGAAGAUGAAUGUCAAGAUACAAUCGAGUAAUCCUUUAUCGCAAGGUCAAUCGUAUUACGAUAGUAUAAUAGUCAAAUUUAUUUUUUAAUUGUAGUUACAAUAUACUGUCUAACAUGAGGGGGUGACUAGGAAGGUCCUUAUUUUCCAUAUCCCAUUUUUGGGUAACUUUCCCCACUCCACACUGUUUUCCUUUUUUACCGCCGAUAAACCAUUUUUCUCCCUGCUAUAUCCCAUAUCGUCACGUUUUUUAACCAUUAAACUUAAUUUUAAAAGCAAUGUAUUCCUCCUCUGACAUAAGUUGUACAGAAUGUUUUGAUUAGUUUUUCUACAUUUUGUUGGACAGCAACCCGACACAACUUGUUCACAAGUAAACAGGCAUAGAAGGAAGUUUAUAAACAUGCAAUAUAUAUAUGAAUUCAUUUGUGUAGUGCCUGGUUUGUCGUAAUGUUACAUUAAAUAAAUUUAUCGUAAUUAAUGGAUUGACACUAAAAUACAUAAACUAUAUUCUAUUUAUACAUGUAUGUUAUACAGUAAAUUUAAAUCUUUUCUUGUGCGGAUCAAGCCAAGCACAAUUAUUUUUUAUUACAUUUGGUUAAAUGUAACUUAAUUUUCCGAUUUCCGUAUGAAUGAAACUAUAUAAUUGCAUUUUAUUUAAAAAAAAAAAACACUUUCAAAAAGCAGUACUAUUUGAAUAUGCUUUCUGAACACGUCAAUAAUCCAUAUAUAUGUAUCAUGCUCAAAUACACAAAUUUCAUUAUUUCUAGAAUUGUGAAGUUGCAACGGUUAUAUAUAUCUCAAUUUUUCAUAGUCCGACGUAUACUUAUAUUUAUACUUUUCAAGUUCGGUUUUUUUUUUUAAGUUGUUGUAUUCUUCAUCAUAUUAGUUCCUACUUAUACUUGCUUUAUUUCUGAAAAUAAGAAGAUGUGUUAUGAUUGCCAAUGAUAUAUCAGACCAAAUGACAUAAAUGUAACUAUAGGUCACUGUACUGCCAUGGACACAACACCCCCUCCCCCCACAUGAACAAUACUUCCCCUAUACUUUCCUUAGGCUAUGAGCUGUAUUUGCUGACGGAAUAAAGUAUUAUUAUUAUACGCUGGUUGUUCUGCAUCUUCUGUCUGACUUUUACCAGACCCUGUUUGGCGCCGAUAACGUCUAUAUAAAAAUGUAUGACACAAUCAUGAUGUCCCUCGUUCAAAUAAGCGACAAGCUAUGGUACAUUUGACCAUAAAAACAUGUUUUAAUAUCAAAAUUAUAAAUACAAAACACAUUGUUAGCUUCUUUCUCUUGAAAAUGAAAAAAGGUGAAACACUAGUGCGUUAGUUUGUUGUAAAAGAAUGACACAAGGUACCAGACUCAAACUCAUAAAUCGAAAAAACACUGACAACGCCAUGGCUAAAAAUUAAAAAGACAAACAGACAAACAAUAGUACACAUGACACAACAUAGAAAACUAAAUUAACAACACCAACCACAUCAACAACUAGGGGUGAUAUCAGGUGUUCGGGAGGAGUAAGCAGAUCCUGCUCCACAUCAGGCACACGUCGUGUUGCUUAUUUGAUUUAAAAUACAAAUCCAGUAAAUGUUGUACAAUAAAAAUAAAAGUUAAUACAAAUAUGAAGAUGCUAUAUGAGUGCCAAUGAGUUAACUCUAAAUCCAAGUCACAAUGUAUAAAACGUAAACCAUUAUCAUGAUUAUGGGUCAAAAUACGACCUUCAACAAGGAGCCUCAGCUAACACUAUAUAUAAAGGGUCCCAAAAAUAAUUCAAACAAAACAAAGAAAAUGUGAAAAUAGUUAGACGUAAAAUUAAAACGGUAACAACUUAAAAAAAAUAGCUUUGUUUCUGACGAUAUCAAAUCUCCUUAGAUCUACAAUGUAUCUGUAAACAGAAAAAAAAGUGUUGACUUCUUUAAAUGUAGUUGACUAGAAAAUACCCACGAAAUAUACAUUGCUUCAUAAUUUGAAUACUUAUCGUUUUGGUGUAAUGCGAUAUUAAGAUGUUAACUUUUUUUGAAGCAUGUCACAGACAAAAUACCACCACUCAAUAUGACAUGAAUUGGGAGAAGGGGGGGGGGGUAUUUUACAGCAGCAUUCUGUCUAAUUUUAACCUAACACCGAAGUUAUUCUUCCACCCUUUUUAUGUUAAAAUUAAAGUUAAAAAAGGAAAAGUGAGAGUUUAAUUCCUUAAGGAUUACGAAUUUAAAACUUCAAAAUAAAAUAUCAUUAUUAUGAAAUGUUAUUUCAAGGUCGUUUCCUGUUUGCAGUCUUCAGUUGCAAACCACCAAGUGCAUUUAAUAUGCAUGUAAAGUUUGAAAUUUCAUCUUUUCAAAUAAAAUUGCAUUCAUAAAUUUAAAGAAUGAAUUCAAAAGAAUAAUUAUAUAAAAAAUCUAUAUUUUUUUUAGAAAUAAAGUACUACGUUGUGAUUAGGUAACAAUUUCUGCAAAUAAAACUUGUAUACAAUAUCUUUACUUUUAAAUUAUUUUUACAAUUUAUCUUUUAAAUGGAUACGUUGCACAAUCAAAGACCAGUACGAAACAGACAUGCAUAGACUAGGAAGUUCUCAGAACUUAUUCAUAAAUAGUUCAUGGACAUUUAAAAAUCACACUCGGAGAAACUGAUUCGGUUUUCCAAAGUUAAAUAAAACGUUGUUGUCACAUUGAUAAUACAGGCCAACAUGUAAGUAAAUAAUUCUUAAAUUUCUUAAACUAUUAAAAAUAUUUAUAACUUUUUUCAACUUUAGGUUUUAAAGUUUCUGUCUGUCGAAAUCGAUCAUCAUUUUUGUCUUUAAUUUCAUAGUAGACGACAUGGAAAACACGUACAAAUGAUUUAAAACAUUGCUUAUAUUACAUGGGAACUUGGGGACAGAAUAAUUUGUUUUGCUCUCCACCUUUUUUCUAAAAUCCGUUUAUUUUUCGUUUUCUAUUAAUUUCAAUUAUUUUCCAGGUUAAUUAUCCAUAGCGGUCACUGAUAAAAUAUCGGCUUUUAGAAACAUGAGGGAGGCCUCAGGGCCAAAAAAAUUGUCCUGUCCUCAAGUCAUAAUACAAUACUGAAUAAAGUUUUGAUGAAAAACAUCAAUAUUGAUAAGUUUCCUAGUAAUACAUAAAAAUCUAUGUUGAUUCUAUAUUCGUGAAUAAUUUAAUUUUGGAUGUAACGCGUCUUCUGAUUGGCUGACGUCGUUUUGUUUAUCAUAUCAUAGACACAAUUUUGUAAUGUGACAAUGACCUCAUCAACGUUUUAUCAUGAUUUACGCCAGUUUCAUUGGAAUUUAGGAUUAAAUUAUAAGAACUAAUAUUUUUCCAGUAUAUUCAAAAUAACAUAAAGUACAAUGUAUGUGGUUCACAUUGUUAAAUAACCUGUUACUAGCGUAAUUCAUUGUGCACCACAUUUUUUAUGUUAUUUCUUCAUGGACAGAAAAAAAUAUUACAGUCAUUCCUUAAAUAUUUCUGUAGUUACAAUCAAGUUUUUCCCUUUUACGUGACGUGUUAUAUCGAUAAUAAUAGUAACUUCUUCAAUAAUAACGAUUGAGUAUUGUUGGUUUUGUCCUGAAAUUUCUAACAGUCAUUGCAAAUGAAUAUAAACAAGAAUGUGUCCCCAGUACACGAAUGCCCCACUCGCACUAUCAUUUUCCAUGUUCAGUGGACCGUGACAUUGGGAUAAAAACUCUAAUUUGGCAUUAAAAUUAGAAAGAUCAUUUCAUAAGGAACAUGUGUACCAAGUUUGAAGUCGAUUGGACUUCAACUUCAUCAAAAACUACCUUGACCAAAAACUUAAACCUGCUAUCGUAGGUGGGGCAUAAAACAACAGAUUUGGUAUAAUUGACAAUGAGACAUGCAACUCUCCACAAGAGCCCAAAUGAAACAGAAAUUGACAACUAUAGGUCACCGUAUACCAUUUAACCAUGAGCACAGCGCAUACCGCAUAGUCAGCUGUAAAAGGCCUCGAAUUGACAAAUGUAAAACAUUUCAAACGAGAAAACUAUAAUGGCCUAAUUUUAUGUACAAAAAUAUGAACGAAAAAACUAAUAUGUAAUACAUAACCAAACGACAACCACUGAAUUACAGGCUCCUUACUUGGGAGUCGACAGGCACAUACGUACAGAGUGUGGCGGAAUUAAACAUGUUAGCGGAAUCCUUAACCAUUGACAGUGGUGUAACAUUACAACAUAAGAACGAGAUAUCAAAAUCAGUUGAAAAAGGCUUAUCUCAUAAGAUGGGUACAAUUAGAAAUAUUUCACAGAGACUAUAAAUUGGAAUCGAGGAUCGUCACUGUUAGCCUCACUCUAAAAGAUCAAACUGUAAUGUCGGCCAUCUUCGAUUUCAGUUGAUUAAUAAAAGAAAACAACUGUCCAGGAUGAAAAAUUGCAUUCAUCACAGUUUGACAUUAGGCCUUGUGUAAAAAAAAAUAAGUGUAAUGAUAACAAGCAUCUCAGUUUAUAAUUGAAAUAGAUUGUUUACAUGUUUGCUUUAAGUUUGGAUUCUGAUUAAGACUUAAAGGGGAUUUUGGUGAUAAGUUUCCUUUUUUCAAAAAAAUAAAAUAUACUGUAAUUGUGUUGGCCAUUGUUUGUCAAGGGAGAUUGACCGUAUAACAUUUCUUUUAGGUGGACAAUAGUGGCCAGUUGCAAACUGUUGCUAUAGGCACAACUUAUGUUCCUAUCCAACAUGCUACUGUCUGUUUACUUUGCUCUAUAUCAAGAUUGCCUACUGCUAAAAAUCAUCGUGAUAUUUAUAGAACAAUUAGUUGUAAUUUAUUAACUAUAAGUGCAAUAAAUAAACAAUCAUGGUGCACUUAGCUGUAAGAGAAGAAACCAAUUUGACAACGAUAAGUGCUUUCCUUUUUUUACAAUAUGACUUCCGUUUUAUGCAUGGAUGUACUGUAUGACACUCAGAAGAAAUAUUUUAAGUGAAUAUCGUUUGAUUAUUAAUUUGCAUUUCAUUUUAGAAUGGGUAUACACAUAUUUCGUUUUUGAAAGAAGGCAGCAAAGUCACUUUCGAUAAAGAAAAG